rnacentral:misc_RNA from 1 species
AAGUCGUAACAAGGUUUCCGUAGGUGAACCUGCGGAAGGAUCAUUGAAUAACAUCCGUUGCAUCUGCAUCUGGUGAUUCCUCUCCUCAGCCCGCUCCCUGCGCUCCCCCUACGUGUCCCUAUAUACAGACGAAAACCACUUCGUCCGUCGGGGUGAUAUAUGGAGCAACGAGCGAUGUGGGGAGCCCUUGUGACUUCCCUGUCGCUGUGUUGUGGCGGCAGGCCUGGCGGGUGAUAACCCCGGCCAAAGUCCGCUUCUCUUUUUGAUUUCCGCAUUCGUGAUGAUUGGCUGAUGAACGGGAGGUUGUCUGGUUUUUCGCGCUUUUUGCGAUGCCAGGUACGCCCGAUUGAAAACUUUACACAACUUUUAACAAUGGAUCUCUUGGCUCUC